CUCCAGCAGCCAGCUCAGUUCCUUAUACAGCCUGGGAUGGUUUUCCAAGGGAAGGAGAUUCUGUUCCCCCAGGAAACUAUGAGGUGACUGUUAUUAGGCAUUUAACAAAUGGAGAAACCAAGGCUCAAUUUAAUAACCAGGAGACUCCAGCCCCUUGCCUAUCUUGUCAUCACAACUGCUUUUUAAACUCUAUGCCAACCACAGAAGUCAAUGCUGAAAAUUCUUCUGAGAGAAUACACCCAAGGAAGCAAAAUCACAUGCAUAUCUUGCCCCUGCUUUUCAGUCCUGAGGCAGACAGAAAACAAGGGGACACACCUCUUGCGCUUUGGUACAUGUUCUGUGAGGCUUGCAAUCUGUACUUUCACAGAAGCUUCAAAGAUUUUUACAGAUGUUGUAAAAGCCAAGAGGAGCACUGAAGAAAUGGUCAUAAAAAACAAUUUCUCAACCAAGACAAAGAGUGACCCAGGACUAAAACCAGAAGAAGGAAGCAGAUGCCCUGGGGUGGAUCAGGACCUGAAGCUGCAUAGUCAACUGCCCUCAUUACAGUCAUUGCUUUUGCCCUAAUACAUCUCUGUAGGGGGAGGACCAACACAAUAAAUUCCAAGAUGGCAGGAACAUCUCUGACCAGUUUUAAUCACUGAUGUGAACUGGUCCUUAAACACAGCAGCUCCAUUUCAGCCCAGAAAGAAUGGCUGCUAUCAAGAAUUCAAC